rnacentral:rRNA from 1 species
UGGGGAAUAUUGCACAAUGGGGGAAACCCUGAUGCAGCGACGCCGCGUGAGCGAUGAAGGCUUUCGAGUCGUAAAGCUCUGUCCUAUGGGAAGAUAAUGACGGUACCAUAGAAGAAAGCCCCGGCUAAUUACGUGCCAGCAGCCGCGGUAAUACGUAAGGGGCGAGCGUUGUCCGGAAUUAUUGGGCGUAAAGCGAGCGCAGGCGGUUAGAUAAGUCUGAAGUUAAAGGCAGUGGCUCAACCAUUGUAGGCUUUGGAAACUGUUUAACUUGAGUGCAGAAGGGGAGAGUGGAAUUCCAUGUGUAGCGGUGAAAUGCGUAGAUAUAUGGAGGAACACCGGUGGCGAAAGCGGCUCUCUGGUCUGUAACUGACGCGGAGGCUCGAAAGCGUGGGGAGCGAACAGG